rnacentral:lncRNA from 1 species
CCUCCUCCGAGCGUUUCGUGGUGGGCCUGCGGUCAGCGAGCGGCGCAGGUGAUUCCUCUCUGGCGAUUGUCCAGCCAACCGUGCCAGUACUCGUCCGAGCGUUCCCCAGCGACGUCGUGCUGGAUCUAGGUCCCCAGGUAUGAGGAUGUCCAGUGUCCAUAUUUUCUGUUUUGCCCUGUUCUCCUCCCAUGGCUCAUCUAGUUGUUCCCUCUUCUCUAGAUUGGGCUAGAUCUGCAAAGCAAAUAGAGGAGGGGACAAGGUCGUAGCUAAUUGGGUUGUCUCCUCAAGGAUUAGCACAUCCUUUGAAGGAAGUAGGAGAGGGAACGAAGUAGUGGCAUCUUGUCAGCAGAUGCAGAUUUUGGUCUUGAAGAAAUUGGGAAGGUAUAAUUUAUGUUCUCCUAAUUAAGUGUUAUAUACGUCUAUGACUAUAUGUGCCUGGAGUGCGUGCUCUGUGCGACCGAGGUCUAAUGAAAAUUGAUAUAUGUCUAUGAACUGCUACUGCUACUGUCUAGAUGGAAUUUAGAUUAUGAUAAGUAUGUGAAUUUAGAAAGCUCGAGUGGUGUCUAGGGCUUGUACGUGCUUCUACAAAUUUGCUAGAUUAAUUUAUGUGUGUGCUACUGCUAGUAGUGUGAUUGACAGCGAGAAAAAAAAAGUGUGCCAUUGCUACUAGUCCUAUUGACAGUGAACUGGUACUGCUAGUGCCAUCUUUACAUCAUAUUUUUGGCUGAAAACAUUCAUGUGUAGUCAUAGAUGAUUAACUUACAACCCAGUCGUUUCAUUUAAGUCAACAUGUGGUUUAGAUGAUUGAACUUAUAAUCAGCAAAUUAUAUGAAAUUCAUUUAAAUACAUUGUUUAAACUAUUGAAAACAGUAAUUUCAGUUAAAAUUCUGUGUAAAGUAGCCAUCUGCAGCAAAAACAGGUCUUAAUCGAGUCAUUUAGAGUUACAACACCUCCAACCGUGAAAAUUGCAGCCCAAACAAACACACCCUUAAUGCAGCAACAAGGAACUCUUACGGCGAUAGAAUUGUGUGUAGUACGAUGGGAAAUAAGAAAGAUGUUGGAACUAGUUGAGCAUAGAAAAUUAUAGAAAUGAUGCUUGCCAUCAGGUUUAGUUUCUAUUGCAAUUGAUUGGUGAAGUGAGCUGAGAUUAGGUAUUGCAAUUAAUUUCUAUUGCCUGACCAAUUCAACUCUUCUUUCAGGUUGCUUGGUGGCAAGAUUUCUGCAAGUUAUUAGGACUAAUAGUACUGCAUUGGUUUUUUCUUCUCCUAGUGUACUAGAACUAGGUGUUGAAUGACUGAUGUACAAAUCCGCAGAUUUGCCAUCACUGUUAAUUACUGUUUUCGGACCAUUAUCUUAACUGAUGUACUUAUGUAUUGAAGUGAUGCAUUAUUGAAUUUGACUGACUCAUAUUGGUGCUACAUAAUCAGCACUAUGUGCAACUGAACUGUUUGGUUUACUUUAAUUU